rnacentral:rRNA from 2 species
GUAACUGUUCAGGUAUUGACGGUAUUUAACCAGAAAGCCACGGCUAACUACGUGCCAGCAGCCGCGGUAAUACGUAGGUGGCAAGCGUUGUCCGGAUUUAUUGGGCGUAAAGCGAGCGCAGGCGGUUUUUUAAGUCUGAUGUGAAAGCCUUCGGCUCAACCGAAGAAGUGCAUCGGAAACUGGGAAACUUGAGUGCAGAAGAGGACAGUGGAACUCCAUGUGUAGCGGUGAAAUGCGUAGAUAUAUGGAAGAACACCAGUGGCGAAGGCGGCUGUCUGGUCUGUAACUGACGCUGAGGCUCGAAAGUAUGGGUAGCAAACAGGAUUAGAUACCCUGGUAGUCCAUACCGUAAACGAUGAAUGCUAAGUGUUGGAGGGUUUCCGCCCUUCAGUGCUGCAGCUAACGCAUUAAGCAUUCCGCCUGGGGAGUACGGCCGCAAGGCUGAAACUCAAAGGAAUUGACGGGGGCCCGCACAAGCGGUGGAGCAUGUGGUUUAAUUCGAAGCUACGCGAAGAACCUUACCAGGUCUUGACAUACUAUGCAAAUCUAAGAGAUUAGACGUUCCCUUCGGGGACAUGGAUACAGGUGGUGCAUGGUUGUCGUCAGCUCGUGUCGUGAGAUGUUGGGUUAAGUCCCGCAACGAGCGCAACCCUUAUUAUCAGUUGCCAGCAUUAAGUUGGGCACUCUGGUGAGACUGCCGGUGACAAACCGGAGGAAGGUGGGGAUGACGUCAAAUCAUCAUGCCCCUUAUGACCUGGGCUACACACGUGCUACAAUGGAUGGUACAACGAGUUGCGAACUCGCGAGAGUAAGCUAAUCUCUUAAAGCCAUUCUCAGUUCGGAUUGUAGGCUGCAACUCGCCUACAUGAAGUCGGAAUCGCUAGUAAUCGCGGAUCAGCAUGCCGCGGUGAAUACGUUCCCGGGCCUUGUACACACCGCCCGUCACACCAUGAGAGUUUGUAACACCCAAAGUCGGUGGGGUAAC